AGUGAACGCUGGCGGUAGGCCUAACACAUGCAAGUCGAACGGCAGCACAGUAAGAGCUUGCUCUUACGGGUGGCGAGUGGCGGACGGGUGAGGAAUACAUCGGAAUCUACUUUUUCGUGGGGGAUAACGUAGGGAAACUUACGCUAAUACCGCAUACGACCUACGGGUGAAAGCAGGGGAUCUUCGGACCUUGCGCGAUUGAAUGAGCCGAUGUCGGAUUAGCUAGUUGGCGGGGUAAAGGCCCACCAAGGCGACGAUCCGUAGCUGGUCUGAGAGGAUGAUCAGCCACACUGGAACUGAGACACGGUCCAGACUCCUACGGGAGGCAGCAGUGGGGAAUAUUGGACAAGGGGCGCAAGCCUGAUCCAGCCAUACCGCGUGGGUGAAGAAGGCCUUCGGGUUGUAAAGCCCUUUUGUUGGGAAAGAAAAGCAGCAGGUUAAUACCCCGCUGUUCUGACGGUACCAAAAGAAUAAGCACCGGCUAACUUCGU
rnacentral:rRNA from 1 species